AUACUUUAUUUCUUCUCAUAGUGAGGUCUUAUCUAUAAGCUUUUUGCUGUCAUGGUUCACACUCAGUUCUCUUCUCUACGCCUAUUCACCAUAAUGCAUUAUAUUGUUUUAGAAAUUGUAGGGAGGUUUGCCUAGAUGUCAAGAGCCAUGUCUAUUCUCUACAACACCUUUGAUACUCUACAACACUGUACGUUUGUAAACAGAAAAGUGUGGCUUAAUUUACACCAUCGUAAUCUCUAUUCCAACCUAGCCUACUGAUCGCUUUCGAGCUCGCCCGCUUCUACCUCGCUUUUGCCUAUUGACUGCUAUGGCUACUGUGCAGCUCUUCCCGAGACGACUUCUUAUCGUGAGCUUGUUCAUCCCAAAUGGUUAAAUGUGAUGGCAUCCAAGAUUGAUGCUCUUGCCCGCUCGACACAUGGAAUAUCAUUUCCCUUCUUCCCCGUGCUCAUCUCAUCACUUGUAAGUGGGUUUACAAGGUUAAGACUGAUGAUACUCUAGAGCGUUACACAACUCGUUUAGUGGUGAGAACAUGGUCAUGACUAAUAUAGAGAGAGAGAGAGAGAGAAAGUCUAUUUAAGACGCAGGGUGAAGAAUAACUUAUUCCUCACCCUAGUCGACCGACCGAGUGACAGACAACCGGCUCAACCAGGUAAAAUUAUACCCCGCCGCCGACCGUCGUAAUUUUAAUUUGACGCAGGAAUUGGUCGGCUGGUCGUGGGAAUUGGGAGGUGCGAGCGGUUUCCACUUUCGACAUCGGAUAGUGCGCGGUCAGCGGCCGAUGGGCUCGUUGUGCUCGGUGGAGGAUUCGCUCGCUUCCCGAUCCUCCUCUCCUCCGAUCUCUCGUGUUAUCCGGAGGCGACAACGGCGGUCGGCGGCGAAGGUUACGGAGCGGUCGGCGAUUCGGGUGCGGCUGCUAUGGCGGCGGCCACUGCCAAAUCACCCGGCUGCUCCGUCAGAGAAGGCGCCGGCGACAGCCAGCCGUCGAAAGGAGAAUACGCUGGUGCCAGCCAUCUUCCGUAAGCGGAGGUGCUGCAAAGGAGCUGCUGAAUAGGGGGAUCAAGAAGAGGCAGGACCAAUAGGAUGGCAGUAUGACACUAUGCCAUUAUGUCAAUGGAGGAGAAGGAGGCCGUGUCAAUGGCAAAGAACAAGAGGAGCACAACAAGGCCCGUGAGGAGGAAGAACAUCACAAGAUUAUCUUCUUUGUUACAGCCAAAGAUGCAGGAACUUAAGGCUCCACAAUUUACAGAGAAAUACGCAAUAUAAGUGUGAUUGCCUCAUGGUUCAUUUUUUACACUGGCCAAAUCUAAGGUACGUAUGAUGCUUAGCGCCUAUCCUUUGCAAGAUGCUAGUUAAUUCAAACUUUAAGUAUAUACUGUCCUUUGCUAUAAAGCUGCAGAGGUGUCAAUCUUUUGUUCAGAAUAUGAUAUCCAAGCUGUAGAGGUGGCACAUAACAUAGGGCCGGAGACAGAAACUUUUGUGAAACAUAGCUUGUGUGAGACUUGUAGCGAAGCUGCAAAAAAAUUAUUGAACUUAACAAGGAAAAGGUAGGUUACCCUUGUAAAUCUGUCAAGUAAUUUUAUAAAACAAAAUUCACUAAAGGAUCAAUUUAACUGAUGAGAGGUCCUAAUCCUGUUUGUACUUUGGUUCGUCUUGUUUUAGUUCCUACUGACCUUGUUCAUGGAUCCAGGAAUCGAGAAACGCAAGAUGAUUUUGCAAGUUAGCAAUAAUUACCGUAAUAAAGCUGCCACACUUGCCUUCUUGGAAGAUCCAUUGAAGAAACAUGGCAAAUCUAACCAAUUGAUGUUUGUUUUAAAGAAACAUAGCUUGAUAUUGUUGCUAGUAGCUUACAGUAACUGAGAACAGGUGACACAAUCACAUUUGAAUGGGCAUGUCUAGGUUUUGCCUCUCAAGGAACACGCAUUCAUUCUCUUCCGAGUUUGAGCUUAACCUGUACUAUACUAUUUCCAUUAGCACUAUGCAUUCCAGUUUUGGACACUCCAAGGUAUGCUUCGCAAAACUAAUCAUUCUCGGAUCAGCACAUCAUAUGACCGAAAAUACAUGGCCUUUAGUUAGCUCAUAGUAACUGUCUACAUGUUUAUUGAUCCAAAGAAGAUGUCUUGUAAAACCGAAUUACAUAAGCAUUUUAGUGUAAAACAUGAUCUGGAUGAUGGCAUUACCCUUUAAUCUGCCUUGGCAUGAUAUGUCCACGUAUAUUCAGUGUGCUCUUUCACUAGAGAACAAUAGUAGUAGUUGUAAGUUUC